GGUCAACAUGGCAUAGUGGUUAGAGUGUUGGACUACAACUCUGGAGACCGGAGCUCGAUUCCUUGCUUGGCCA